rnacentral:tRNA from 1 species
GGUGGCUCAGUGGUAAAGCACUUGCCUUGCAAGCAUGAGGCCCUGGGUUCGAUUCCUCAGCACCA